rnacentral:rRNA from 1 species
UACGGAGGGGGCUAGCGUUGUUCGGAAUUACUGGGCGUAAAGCGUACGUAGGCGGUUAUUCAAGUCAGAGGUGAAAGCCCGGGGCUCAACCCCGGAACGGCCUUUGAAACUAGGUAGCUAGAGUCUUGGAGAGGUUAGUGGAAUUCCGAGUGUAGAGGUGAAAUUCGUAGAUAUUCGGAAGAACACCAGUGGCGAAGGCGGCUCACUGGCCCGGUACUGACGCUGAGGUGCGAAAGCGUGGGGAGCAAACAGG